AGCAGUGGGGAAUAUUGGACAAUGGGCGAAAGCCUGAUCCAGCCAUGCCGCGUGUGUGAAGAAGGUCUUCGGAUUGUAAAGCACUUUAAGUUGGGAGGAAGGGCAGUAAAUUAAUACUUUGCUGUUUUGACGUUACCGACAGAAUAAGCACCGGUUAACUCUGUGCCAGCAGCCGCGGUAAUACAGAGGGUGCAAGCGUUAAUCGGAAUUACUGGGCGUAAAGCGCGCGUAGGUGGUUCGUUAAGUUGGAUGUGAAAUCCCCGGGCUCAACCUGGGAACUGCAUUCAAAACUGACGAGCUAGAGUAUGGUAGAGGGUGGUGGAAUUUCCUGUGUAGCGGUGAAAUGCGUAGAUAUAGGAAGGAACACCAGUGGCGAAGGCGACUACCUGGACUGAUACUGACCACUGAGG
rnacentral:rRNA from 1 species